rnacentral:rRNA from 1 species
CAGCAGCCGCGGUAAUCCGUAGGUCCCGAGCGUUGUCCGGAUUUAUUGGGCGUAAAGCGAGCGCAGGCGGUUAGAUAAGUCUGAAGUUAAAGGCUGUGGCUUAACCAUAGUACGCUUUGGAAACUGUUUAACUUGAGUGCAAGAGGGGAGAGUGGAAUUCCAUGUGUAGCGGUGAAAUGCGUAGAUAUAUGGAGGAACACCGGUGGCGAAAGCGGCUCUCUGGCUUGUAACUGACGCUGAGGCUCGAAAGCGUGGGGCGCAAACAGGAUUAGAUACCCCCGUAGUCCCUGUCUCUUAUACC